CCAGAAGAGACUUUUGCUUCCUUAAGGCUAACAGCUUGGCCAACAUCCUUGGCUUGAUGAAAAGUGGCUAAAGCAUCCACUAAGAAAGAUUGAAGGUUGGCCAUAGCAGCAGCCUGGUGAGAAUCAAGUUUUUGGCCAAGAAGGAAGACAAGCAACUCCUUGG
rnacentral:pre_miRNA from 1 species